UUAAGCGACUAAGCGUACACGGUGGAUGCCCUGGCAGUCAGAGGCGAUGAAGGACGUGCUAAUCUGCGAAAAGCGUCGGUAAGGUGAUAUGAACCGUUACAGCCGGCGAUGUCCGAAUGGGGAAACCCAGUGCAAUUCGUUGCACUAUCGUUAACUGAAUACAUAGGUUAACGAGGCGAACCGGGGGAACUGAAACAUCUAAGUACCCCGAGGAAAAGAAAUCAACCGAGAUUCCCCCAGUAGCGGCGAGCGAACGGGGAGCAGCCCAGAGUCUGAAUCAGCUUGUGUGUUAGUGGAACGGUCUGGAAAGUCCGACGGUACAGGGUGAUAGUCCCGUACACCAAAAUGCACAGGCUGUGAACUCGAAGAGUAGGGCGGGACACGUGGUAUCCUGUCUGAAUAUGGGGGGACCAUCCUCCAAGGCUAAAUACUCCUGACUGACCGAUAGUGAACCAGUACCGUGAGGGAAAGGCGAAAAGAACCCCGGCGAGGGGAGUGAAAAAGAACCUGAAACCGUGUACGUACAAGCAGUGGGAGCACCUUCGGGUGUGACUGCGUACCUUUUGUAUAAUGGGUCAGCGACUUAUAUUCUGUAGCAAGGUUAACCGUAUAGGGGAGCCGCAGGGAAACCGAGUCUUAACUGGGCGUUAAGUUGCAGGGUAUAGACCCGAAACCCGGUGAUCUAGCCAUGGGCAGGUUGAAGGUUGGGUAACACUAACUGGAGGACCGAACCGACUAAUGUUGAAAAAUUAGCGGAUGACUUGUGGCUGGGGGUGAAAGGCCAAUCAAACCGGGAGAUAGCUGGUUCUCCCCGAAAGCUAUUUAGGUAGCGCCUCGUGAAUUCAUCUUCGGGGGUAGAGCACUGUUUCGGCUAGGGGGUCAUCCCGACUUACCAACCCGAUGCAAACUACGAAUACCGAAGAAUGUUAUCACGGGAGACACACGGCGGGUGCUAACGUCCGUCGUGAAGAGGGAAACAACCCAGACCGCCAGCUAAGGUCCCAAAGUCAUGGUUAAGUGGGAAACGAUGUGGGAAGGCACAGACAGCCAGGAUGUUGGCUUAGAAGCAGCCAUCAUUUAAAGAAAGCGUAAUAGCUCACUGGUCGAGUCGGCCUGCGCGGAAGAUGUAACGGGGCUAAACCAUGCACCGAAGCUGCGGCAGCGACACUAUGUGUUGUUGGGUAGGGGAGCGUUCUGUAAGCCUGCGAAGGUGACCUGUGAGGGUUGCUGGAGGUAUCAGAAGUGCGAAUGCUGACAUAAGUAACGAUAAAGCGGGUGAAAAGCCCGCUCGCCGGAAGACCAAGGGUUCCUGUCCAACGUUAAUCGGGGCAGGGUGAGUCGACCCCUAAGGCGAGGCCGAAAGGCGUAGUCGAUGGGAAACAGGUUAAUAUUCCUGUACUUGGUGUUACUGCGAAGGGGGGACGGAGAAGGCUAUGUUAGCCGGGCGACGGUUGUCCCGGUUUAAGCAUGUAGGCUGAUUGUCCAGGCAAAUCCGGAUAAUCAAGGCUGAGGUGUGAUGACGAGGCACUACGGUGCUGAAGUAACAAAUGCCCUGCUUCCAGGAAAAGCCUCUAAGCAUCAGGUAACAUUAAAUCGUACCCCAAACCGACACAGGUGGUCAGGUAGAGAAUACCAAGGCGCUUGAGAGAACUCGGGUGAAGGAACUAGGCAAAAUGGUGCCGUAACUUCGGGAGAAGGCACGCUGGUGUGUAGGUGAAGUCCCUGCGGAUGGAGCUGAGACCAGUCGAAGAUACCAGCUGGCUGCAACUGUUUAUUAAAAACACAGCACUGUGCAAACACGAAAGUGGACGUAUACGGUGUGACGCCUGCCCGGUGCCGGAAGGUUAAUUGAUGGGGUUAUCCGUAAGGAGAAGCUCUUGAUCGAAGCCCCGGUAAACGGCGGCCGUAACUAUAACGGUCCUAAGGUAGCGAAAUUCCUUGUCGGGUAAGUUCCGACCUGCACGAAUGGCGUAAUGAUGGCCAGGCUGUCUCCACCCGAGACUCAGUGAAAUUGAACUCGCUGUGAAGAUGCAGUGUACCCGCGGCAAGACGGAAAGACCCCGUGAACCUUUACUAUAGCUUGACACUGAACAUUGAGCCUUGAUGUGUAGGAUAGGUGGGAGGCUUUGAAGCGUGGACGCCAGUCUGCGUGGAGCCAACCUUGAAAUACCACCCUUUAAUGUUUGAUGUUCUAACGUUGGCCCCUGACCGGGGUUGCGGACAGUGUCUGGUGGGUAGUUUGACUGGGGCGGUCUCCUCCCAAAGCGUAACGGAGGAGCACGAAGGUUAGCUAAUCCUGGUCGGACAUCAGGAGGUUAGUGCAAUGGCAUAAGCUAGCUUGACUGCGAGCGUGACGGCGCGAGCAGGUGCGAAAGCAGGUCAUAGUGAUCCGGUGGUUCUGAAUGGAAGGGCCAUCGCUCAACGGAUAAAAGGUACUCCGGGGAUAACAGGCUGAUACCGCCCAAGAGUUCAUAUCGACGGCGGUGUUUGGCACCUCGAUGUCGGCUCAUCACAUCCUGGGGCUGAAGUAGGUCCCAAGGGUAUGGCUGUUCGCCAUUUAAAGUGGUACGCGAGCUGGGUUUAGAACGUCGUGAGACAGUUCGGUCCCUAUCUGCCGUGGGCGCUGGAGAAUUGAGGGGGGCUGCUCCUAGUACGAGAGGACCGGAGUGGACGCAUCACUGGUGUUCGGGUUGUCAUGCCAAUGGCACUGCCCGGUAGCUAAAUGCGGAAGAGAUAAGUGCUGAAAGCAUCUAAGCACGAAACUUGCCCCGAGAUGAGUUCUCCCUGAGACUUUAAGUCUCCUGAAGGAACGUUAAAGACGAUGACGUUGAUAGGCCGGGUGUGUAAGCGCAGCGAUGCGUUGAGCUAACCGGUACUAAUGAACCGUGAGGCUUAACCU
rnacentral:rRNA from 1 species